rnacentral:rRNA from 1 species
CCUACGGGAGGCAGCAGUGAGGAAUAUUGGUCAAUGGACGAGAGUCUGAACCAGCCAAGUAGCGUGAAGGAUGACUGCCCUAUGGGUUGUAAACUUCUUUUAUAAAGGAAUAAAACGAGGCACGCGUGCCUUUUUGCAUGUACUUUAUGAAUAAGGAUCGGCUAACUCCGUGCCAGCAGCCGCGGUAAUACGGAGGAUUCGAGCGUUAUCCGGAUUUAUUGGGUUUAAAGGGAGCGUAGAUGGGUUGUUAAGUCAGUGGUGAAAGUCUGCGGCUCAACCGUAAGAUUGCAGUUGAUACUGGCGGUCUUGAGUACAGUAGAGGUAGGCGGAAUGCGUGGUGUAGCGGUGAAAUGCUUAGAUAUCACGAAGAACCCCGAUUGCGAAGGCAGCUUACUAAACUGUGACUGACAUUGAUGCUCGAAAGUGUGGGUAUCGAACAGGAUUAGAUACCCGGGUAGUC